GGCGACGAUCUGUAGCGGGUCUGAGAGGAUGAUCCGCCACACUGGGACUGAGACACGGCCCAGACUCCUACGGGAGGCAGCAGUGGGGAAUAUUGGACAAUGGGCGAAAGCCUGAUCCAGCCAUGCCGCGUGUGUGAAGAAGGCCUUUUGGUUGUAAAGCACUUUAAGCGAGGAGGAGGCUACCGAGAUUAAUACUCUUGGAUAGUGGACGUUACUCGCAGAAUAAGCACCGGCUAACUCUGUGCCAGCAGCCGCGGUAAUACAGAGGGUGCGAGCGUUAAUCGGAUUUACUGGGCGUAAAGCGUGCGUAGGCGGCUUUUUAAGUCGGAUGUGAAAUCCCUGAGCUUAACUUAGGAAUUGCAUUCGAUACUGGGAAGCUAGAGUAUGGGAGAGGAUGGUAGAAUUCCAGGUGUAGCGGUGAAAUGCGUAGAGAUCUGGAGGAAUACCGAUGGCGAAGGCAGCCAUCUGGCCUAAUACUGACGCUGAGGUACGAAAGCAUGGGGAGCAAACAGGAUUAGAUACCCUGGUAGUCCAUGCCGUAAACGAUGUCUACUAGCCGUUGGGGCCUUUGAGGCUUUAGUGGCGCAGCUAACGCGAUAAGUAGACCGCCUGGGGAGUACGGUCGCAAGACUAAAACUCAAAUGAAUUGACGGGGGCCCGCACAAGCGGUGGAGCAUGUGGUUUAAUUCGAUGCAACGCGAAGAACCUUACCUGGUCUUGACAUAGUAAGAACUUUCCAGAGAUGGAUUGGUGCCUUCGGGAACUUACAUACAGGUGCUGCAUGGCUGUCGCCAGCUCGUGUCGUGAGAUGUUGGGUUAAGUCCCGCAACGAGCGCAACCCUUUUCCUUAUUUGCCAGCGGGUUAAGCCGGGAACUUUAAGGAUACUGCCAGUGACAAACUGGAGGAAGGCGGGGACGACGUCAAGUCAUCAUGGCCCCUACGACCAGGGCUACACACGUGCUACAAUGGUCGGUACAAAGGGUUGCUACCUAGCGAUAGGAUGCUAAUCUCAAAAAGCCGAUCGUAGUCCGGAUUGGAGUCUGCAACUCGACUCCAUGAAGUCGGAAUCGCUAGUAAUCGCGGAUCAGAAUGCCGCGGUGAAUACGUUCCCGGGCCUUGUACACACCGCCCGUCACACCAUGGGAAUUUGUUGCACCAGAAGUAGGUAGUCUAACCGCAAGGAGGACGCUUACCACGGUGUGGCCGAUGACUGGGGUGAAGUCGUAACAAGGUAGCC
rnacentral:rRNA from 1 species